UACGUAGGGUGCAAGCGUUAAUCGGAAUUACUGGGCGUAAAGCGUGCGCAGGCGGUUGUGCAAGACAGAUGUGAAAUCCCCGGGCUCAACCUGGGAACUGCAUUUGUGACUGCACGGCUAGAGUGUGUCAGAGGGGGGUAGAAUUCCACGUGUAGCAGUGAAAUGCGUAGAUAUGCGGAGGAACACCGAUGGCGAAGGCAAUCCCCUGGACCUGUACUGACGCUCAUGCACGAAAGCGUGGGGAGCAAACAGG
rnacentral:rRNA from 1 species